rnacentral:ncRNA from 1 species
UCUUAUCAAGAGUAGGUGGAGGGACUGGCCCGAUGAAACCCGGCAACCGGCGGUAUACCGCACGGUGCUAAUUCUUGCAGCGACUAAGUGUCAGGUGGCACUGUUGUAACUGAGAGAUGAG